UCAUCUGCACAUAAAGUAAACUUUAUUCAAGGUUCAGGAUAUUCUUCAUAAUGUCUUCAUUAUUUGUGCAAAGUUCUGCAAGUCUACAAAGAGUGGUCCCAUGACCCAACCUUUCUUAUGAGAUAGUUAACAUAUAAGUCAGAAGUUUUAUCCUUGCCUCUUCAUUCUCUAAGGUUUUUGAACCAGUGGAGCCAUCCUGGCUUAUUCAUUGAUUGUGCAGCAUUGCCAUGAAGCCGAAAGGGCACGGGAUGAUUAAACAUGAUCAAGCACGUGAAAACUUUAACCAAGCAACUCUCAGACUAAAGAUGGAGGAAAAUGCAAUACAUGAAGUUUCCUUGCUCACUCACGAGGGUAUUGCAUGAUGGAGGACUUAACACAAUUUUACAUUCCCAGAAGAAAAUGUGUACCCAAUGAAGAAAAUGUGAAUAGGUAUAUUUCUGGAGGGAAAGGGAAUGAAUUAGACCUUCGUGUUCAGACAAAAUCUUUUACAUGGUGUUUAUAGAAGUAGGUAGCUAUUAGAUUGAUCGUUUGGCAGAUAGGUCGGAAACAAGCUUGCAAAACAAAGAAUAAAGGUUGUUUUUUUUGUUGUUUUUUUUUUUAAUCACUUAUGUCAAAUAUCAUUUGGCCCUACAAAUUGCACCUAAAACCAAAAACACAGUGGCUGCCUAAGUCUUCAGUGUCUUUCUGUUUUCUCUCAAUCUUUCAUGCCUAACCAUGCAUAUUUUUAAAAUUUGUAUAUAUGCAUGAGGUCCAAGUGCAAUUUUGCUACAUUGAUAUAUUUUGUUGUGGUGAUGUUAGGGCCUUCAGUGCAUCCAUCACUGGAGCAGCAUACAUUGUACCCACCAGGUAACUUCCCGUCAUGCAAACCCCACCCCUGUUUUGAAGCUGAAUUGUUAUUAUCGAACUUGAAAUUCUUAGGGCCUUUCUUAAAUGAAAAGAUAAACAGAUCAACAGAUUAAAAUUUAAAACUGCAUUUUGAUAUGGUCAGAACUGCAGAGGAAAUUUAAUUUUUCAUCUUUGACAGAUAGUCAAGAAAGAAUACAAUCAGUAAUGAUAUGAAAAAGCAGAAUUUUUUCUCGAAAGACAUAGGGAAAGAGAGGUAAAGGAUGCUCUAAAAUUGAGGCAGCCAAAAAGGAAUGAGAGAAGAGACUUGCAGGAGGGGACAGUUAAGGACAGUGAAACAAGAAAGAACACCAGAAAAACAAAAGUCUGUCUGACAUGGCUGCCUGUAGCCUGAGCAGGGGACAGGGAGGGUUAAGGUUAGGACAGAGCAAAAGGCACAGAAGAACGCAUCAGGUGACUCUUGGAAUUACCCUGGCCCCGGUGAAACCGAAACCCGAAGCCAAGUGAUAGAGCAGGUAUAUUUAAGGUAGUCCAGGGAGCUUAAAAAAAUAGAGAAGGAAUUGGAUAUCAGAAAACAUUUUGUGAUGCUGUAAUGAGAUCUCUGCCUUAGUGGAUACAUGCCCUAAGGGAUACAAUGCAAAGUCCUGUUAUCUGAAACAUGUUGAAUUAGAAAGGAAAAUCUACCCGAAUCCCCUGUGAGGAAACCCUUAUAAGAUCAUAUUAUUUAUAUUAUGGUUACAAUUUUUGCAAAUUCUAUGUUUUGUUUUAUGACUCAGUAAUCCACUAAACAGAGGUACUUGAAAUUAGUCAGUUAGAGGUAAGGUAUUAUUUGUCUGCAUAUAAUUGUGGUGUUUGUUUGUUUGUUUUAAUCUGUAAGACCUGAUGAUUCCACAGUUUCUUUGUCUAAAUCUAGCCAGCUGUGGAUUCAGAAAUCCCUCAGAUAACUGGACCAUACGGUUGGAGCCUUUACAUAGCUUGCAUAAAGCACCUGAGUAAUUGGCUCUUUUACAUCAGACAACUUAAGGAAAAGGAGUAAAAACAGGAAAUAGAUACCCUUGGCUGCCUCCCAUAGUUGACUAGAUUUUUGCUGCUGUCUGCAAAGCAUGCUGUUAGUUUGUGUUCCUUAUGAUACUAAAUCAGAAAAUGUUUGCCACUCACCAUGAAACAUUUUAUCUAGGAAUGAGGAUUUGUGCAGUUUUGCAU